UUUUUAUCAAUUAUGAUAGAAAAAUAUUCUUUUGUAAAAAAAAUAUAAUUCAAAUUUAAAAUUUACAAAAAAAAUAUAUAUUUUUUAUUUAAUUAUUUAAUAACUAUAUAAAUUACUAUAUUAUAUGUAUAUAUUAUCAAGUGUGAAAGAAUUAAAGAAUUCUCUAACGAGAAUUAAAGACUAAAACUUUAUAUAUUUUUUUUUAUAUUUUACGAUGGACUGAAAUUAAAUCUAAUCAAAUCUAAAUAAUACUACGAAAUGAUUAAAAACGAGGAAAAGGAUAAAGGAUAAGUUUGCAUACUUUUUUUAUCUAUUAUUACUUUGACAGUUUGUUUUAUUUAUAACAUAACCUAAAAUUUUACAAAUAUUAAUGUAAUUUGGAUAUUGUUUAAAAUUAAGUUAUAAACAUUUUGAAUUUUGAUUUGAAAUUUAUAGUAUUUAUAAUAUUAAUUGUUUAUAUAUUUGAGAUCUUAAAGCAUAUAUUUAUAAAUAUGGUCUAUGUCUAAAAAUCCAUGAAUUAAAUUAAAGCAAAAUAACAAGAAAAAUGUGAUAUCAUAAAGAGUAAUUUAAAAUAAUAAAUAUUGCAUCAAACACUAUAAGCAGUUACAUAUGAGUUACAUAUCAGAAUUCAUGUUCUUUGAAUAAUUUUUUAAUAACUAUUAAUAAUGGUGCAAAUAUGUUAUAUGAAGGAUUACAAAGAAUGAUAAAAGCAUUAUCCUGUUGAAAAGCUUUAUGCUUAAAAUUUUUAAAUUUUAUUUAUCCAAAGUUGUAAUUAUGUUAAAGAUUCCUAUUAUCAUAUCUUAUCUUAAAAUCUUAUAUAAGAAGUAAAUUUAUUAAAACUAUUUUACUUUGCAUUCAAUGAUUAUAAAUAAAUAAUAAUCUAAUUUUAUUAUAUAUAAUAAUAUAAUGUUGUUUUUUAUUAUUUUUUUUAAAUUAAAAUUAGUUAUAACAAAAUAAUUACACAAAUUAAAUAUAAUUAAAUAUUUCAAUUAAAAUUUAAUUUAAUUUAAUUUUUUUCAAAAGAUAUAUAUUAUAAUGUUAAAAUUAUAUAAUAUUAUAAGAAUAGAAAGAAUUAUAAAAUAAAAUAUAUAUUUCAGAUUUAACAAUUAAUGAUUAAAAAUUAAAUUGCAUAUUAUAUAUAUAAAAAUAUAAAAAUAUUUAUAUAUUGUUUGAAAGUAUACAAAAUUUUCGAUCAUUAUUUUACUCAUAUAUUAUAUAGAUAAUUUUAUCUUCAUGCAAUAUUUGAAGCCAUGUUUAUAAAUACAAUAACUAUAAAUUCAUCCAUAUUUUUAUAAUUUUCAUAAAAAGAAAAUAAAGAUUAAAAAAUAUGUUUUCAUAAUACAUAUAAGAAAAAUGAAGAAACAAAAAAUAAAAUUUUUUUUCAUAAAUCUGAGAAAAAAAAAAUUUUUCUUAAAAUUGUAUUUUAGAUUGUGAAAAAAAUAUGAACUCAAUAUGUAAUUUAAUAUUUUAAUAUUUUUAUAUUUAGUAUUUUAUUAAUUUUUAUUUUAUUAUUUUAUUAUUAUUUAUUUUUGAUCUUUUGUAAUAAGCAACCAGGAAUAUUUGUAAUAAGUUAUUUAGAUUUUUUUCUCUCAUCAUUAUACUUUAUUAUUAAUAAAUAACAAUUUUAUUAUUAUAAUUGAAUCAAUUUAAUUUGUACAUAUCAAUCUUAUAAAAGAUAAAGAAAAUAAGCAAUUACAACAUUUGGAAAAUUAAAUAUUUUUAGAAUAUGAUUUUUCCUUAUUUCUUUAAAUUAUUAAUUUUAAUCGAACUUGAAAUUAUGCUAAUAUUUACUAUAAGUAUUAGAUUUAUUGAAUUAAAUUUUUUUCAUUUCUGAUUGUAAAAUCUUUAUGUUUUAUAUAUAUAUAUUUUUUACAUUUUUAGUCUUGUAUCAAUAGUCAAUGUGAUAUUUUUAAAAUAUUAACUUUUAUAAAAAUAUCUGAUAUAUUUUCUAAAUAUUUCAACAAAAAUUAUUUUCUUAGGAUAUUCUUAUAUUUCAUAUUAACAAUUCAUAUAUUCAAUUCAUAUUUAACUCAAUUAUUAUUAUAUAACUAUUUAUUGUAUUUAUUUAUUAUAUUUAUAAAUGAUAUGAAGAUUAUUUUUUUAAAAUAUUUUAUCAAUGGAAUAUUAAUAAAAAUAUGGUUUAGAAUUUGAAAUUAAUUUAUUAUCAUGCCAACAUUAAAUUUUAAAUUUUAAUUUCAACACUAUUAAUAUUUAAUUAAUAUUUAAUUUUAUAUUCUGACAAGACAAAUUUAUGAUCAAAAAUAGAAAUUAAUAAUGUUACUAAAGUUAAAAAAUAAUAGAAUAUGAAUAGAAUUGAAUAGAAUUUAUUUGAAUAGAGAUGACAGAAGAAAUAAUAAAUAAUAUAAAUACAUCAAUUAUUAGUGUUUUUUUAUUGCCUAUCACAUAUAUCAAAAAUUAAGAAAAAUUAAUAGAAUAAAAAAUAUUAAAAUUACAUAUCGAGUUUAUAUUUUUUUACAAAAUAUAAUUUUUAAAGAACAUAUUUUUUUCAGAUAUAAAUUUUCUUUUUUUUUUUUUUUUUAUAUUUCGAAAAUAUAUAAGAUUUUUUCUAUCUUUGUUUCUUUCUUAUAAAAAUUAUAAAAAUAUGGAUGAGUUUAUAAUUAUUCACAGUACUGUAUAUAUGGUCCAAGUUUAAGAUAUUACGCCAUUUUAAUUGUGAAUAUAAAUCACAGACUAUUAUCAUAAAUUCAUUAUAAAAUUAUUAAUUAAAAAGUUUUCUACUAUAAGGUAAACACAUAAUAUACAUACUUUAAGAAAUCAGCAAAUUUUAUGAAUAUAUUUACUAUAUGUGAGCAAAGAAAAUUGCGAUGUAAUUUGUAUCGAAGUGAAUAUUCUUUUGGCAUUUUUGAAGCAACGACUGAAUAUAGAGACAAAUCGAAAUACAUAUUCAAUACUUUAAUAUCGAUAUUUUCGGCAUGAAUUAAAUGAAUGAAUUAAAGGAAAAUUUUUUGAUAUUUCUUACACAUUUGUCAUAAUCGUUAUUUUGUUUUUAUUUAUGUUAACAUAAUUUUUACUAUAGUUCUAUCUAAAAAAAAAUAAACAAUUUUGAUUGAAUUUUGAAAAUAAAAUUGUUAAUAUUUUCUGUUUUUGAUUUAUAGAAUUUAAAAAUGUUAAUUUUAAAUAAUUUUAAGAAAUCUACUGAUGCUUUUUUAUUCGACAAAUUAUUAGAAUACCAUAUUAAUUUAUAUCUAUAGUUUGUUCAAUGAAUGAAAUUAUGUGAUAAUCAUUAUUUAAAUCUAUUAAAUAGUACCAUCAAAAUUAAAAAAUUCAUAGAUUUUUUCUAACUAUUUAAAAGAUAAUAAUGAAUAUACCAAUCUCUGAAAUAUAAAUUUUUUUUUUUUAAGAAGUUAGAAUAGAGAAAAAAAAUAUGAGAGUGAAUUGAAAAUAGUGAAAAAUAUAUAUAUACAUGUGAUAUAUAAACAUACAAUAUAUAUGUAAAUAAAAUUUUAUGAUAAAAGAUGAAUAAAAAGACAAACAAAAAUAAGAAAGCUUUCAAAAUAAUAAAACAAAAUAAAAGUAAGAAAAUGAAUAAAUAGAUGUUAUUUUAAAAUAUGUUAUUUUAAUUUUUAAAAUAUGUUAUUUUAGUAGAAAGUAAAUGUAAAAAAGAAAGAUAAAGAAAAUGGAGAUGGGAGAAAAAAAAAAAUGAAAAUAAAAAAAAAAUCUAUAAAAAAAUUUCAUAUCAAAAUUUAAGAAAAAAAUAAAAAGAAUUAAUAGAAUAAAGAGAAAAAGAAGAAAAUCAGAAAUUAUAUUAAAAAAUUAUUUGUAUAUUAAAAAUAAUACCACUUAUAGUAUUAUUUAAAUAAUAUUACUUAAUAAGAAUACCUAAUAAAAACAAGAAUACAGAAAGAUACAUCAAUGAAAAUUGAAAAAUGCUUUAGAAAAUAUAAUAUAAAAAAAAAAUUUAAUGAGAAGUAAAUAAAAGAAUAUUAUCACGAGAACUGGAUUUUAAUAAUAUUGUAAAUUAAUUCCAUAAAUCUGACUUCAACAUCAAUAAAUAAAUAAAAAGUAAAUGUUUCUGCCGAAUAAAUAUAAAUACAAAGUGUAUAUUAUUUAAAUGUUCAUUAUGGAUAACAAAAAAAAUAAAAGUUAAAAUAAACACAUAAUUUAAAAAUUUAAUCAAUCAAAAAAUUUUUAAAGAUAAUUUAUUAUGAACUGAAUCAAAUUAAUUCUGUUUUUAAUUAAAAUAUAUACAACCUAGAAAAUAAUUAAGUCUCUUACAACAUGUUUUAUUUUGAAUAAUUAAUUAUAAAAAAGUACUGCUAAUUUUGAUGAUUUUCUAAUAUAUUGUUAAAAUCAUUAUGACUAAUGUUGUGAAAAUUUUAGUUAUUGUUGUUAAAGAAUUAUGAUCAAAAAUAUAUAUAGAAAAUUUAAUGCUCUUUUUUUUACUGAACUUUAUGGUAUGUUUCUACAUUUUUUAUGAUUUUGAGAUUAACUUUUUAUGUCUUUUCAACAAAAAAGGUAAGAUAAUCAUUAUUGAUAAUUAAUAUAUAAUCAUUCUAUCUGAAUGAGAUAUAUGUAUAUGUAUACAUAAUGAAAUUCUAUGAAUUUUUUGAUUUUUUGAUAACAAAAUAUGAAUUAUUUAUUUAUUUAAGUAUUUAUAAAAAAUUAUUAAGUAUUUAUAAAAAAAAUAUUAUUUACAAAAGAAUGUUUGUGAUAUAAAAAUAUAUGAUGAAUUUACAAGAAUUUUUUUCAUUUUUGAUAUUAUUAUUAUGAUUUUUUUGAUUUUUUGAUAUUUUUUUAAAAAUAAUGAUAAUUAUAUAUUCCAUAAAUAAAUAAAAUAGCUUGAAAAUACUUGAAAAAUAUUUUAAAAUUUUAAAAAUUUUUCAUAACAUGAAAAAAAUUUUCAUAAUUUCUUACACAAUAUACAAUAUUUAUAUAUUUUCAACAUAUACUAUAUCCAAUUAUAGAUUCUUUUUUCUACUCUAUAAAAAUUUAAUUUAAUCCAAGUUCUAUUUUAAUUUUUUCCAGAAAUGACUUUAAAUUAGACUAAAUUUUUUUUAUGUAAUGGAAAUAACUAGGAGAGUAAAAUCACUACUUUUAUAAUAUAUAUGUUCAUAAUACAUGAACAUAUAAAUGACUAUAAUAAUUUUCAAAAUUAUUGAAUGUAGUUUCAUUUUUAUAUUAAUAACUUUUUAAUAAAGAAUGACUAAAUCAAAAAAAUAAAAAAAAACAAUUUAUAACACUAUUCAACAUGAUGAUUAUAAUAAUAUAUUAAAAAAUCAUUGAGAUUGAAGAAUAAUAUCUUUUUAUAAAUAUUUAUCUUGUUUUAUAUUUUUAUGUAUGUUUUAUGUAUUCUAAGGAGAUUAUAAUUUUUUUAAGAAUUUCUGAUAUACUUUCCUUUGUAAGUAUGCAUUAAAAUAUGUUUUUCUUUUUUCAAGUCUAUAUACCAGGGAUAGAUUAAGUUUAAAAAAAAACAUCAAAGGAAAAUGGAAUGCAAUUCAUUUAUAAUAUAAUAACUCAAAAAAAAGGAUGACAGAUUCACAACUAAUGAGAGAUUCUGAAGAAAAAAAAACAAUUGAUAUUGAUACUAAAUAAUUGAUUGAUAUUAAAUUAAAAAAUUUGUAAAUUUUUAAGUAUUCUUAUAAAUAAAAAGUAUUAAACAAUAAAAAUUUCAAGUUUUAUUUUGAAUCUUUUAUACAUUCCGGCAAAUAGAGUAGACCAACAUUCUAUGAGUAUUCUUUCAGUUCUCAGUUCUCAAAUUCUUAUAAAUUUGUUAUAGGAAUAUAUAUCAUUUGAACAUGAAGAAGAUGUUAAAUAAUUAUAAAUAGAAAAUAGAAAAGCAAAAUGAUAUAAAUAUAUAUGAAAAUAUAUGAUAAAGAAAAAAAUCAAGAAUGAAAUAGAUUAUAAAAAUAAGUAGGAAGAAAAGUGAAAAAAUACAAAAAUUUGAAUGCAACAAUCAUGAAAGUAUAAAUAAAGAAGUAACAAUAUGCUCAAAUAAUUUUCUUUCUUACAAUAAUUCGAAGAAAUGGAAUAUAAAUCUCAAAGGAUUAUUGAAAUAAAUUUGAAAAUAAUAAAAAUAUAAUUACAAUUGAAAAAUGUAAAUGAAAAAUAGAUUUAAUAAUAUAAAAUAGAAAAAAAACUUACUAAAAAUAUAUAAAGAGAUAAUAAAAAGUAAAGAGGAAUUUUAAAAGAAUUUAAAUCAUAAAAAUGGGGACAAAUAAAACUAAGAAAUGAAAUAAGAUAUGAUGGAUAAUUUAGUGUCAUGUACAUAUUUAAAAAAAAAGAGAAAGAAAAGAUAUUAUUAUAUAAUUUGAAAUUAAGAAAAAUUUAUUAAAAAACUUGAAAACUAGAUUGAUAAGUUUAAUUAAAAGUUAUAUGCAUUGAAAAAAAGAUAAAUUAGAAAUAACAAUAGUGUAUGUGAAUAAAGGAAAAACUAUAUUAAUAAAAUAUUAAAACUUAUUAACAUCAAAAUUACUAACUGGAUGUGGACAUAUAUAAUUAAAUUUAUUCAUAUAUAAUUAAAUUAGUCUUAUAUAGAAGUAAUUAAAUCUAUGCUGUAAAUGUUUAAGAUUUGGCCAGCCAGUAUGUUUAAGUGCUUGUGUAUAAGAGAGAAAGUAUAUUAUAUAAAAUGUCUAAUUUGAUUACUUAGAAUAACUGUUAAAGUAAACUUUAUAAAAAUAAGAUAUGAAAUUUAAAUGUUUUCAAAGAAAAUAAAGUAUGUAUUUUUUUUGUGAACUAUUUCAGAGAUUUCAAGAUCAUAUUUUAAAUGGAAUAAUUUUUAAUUUAAUUUUUUUAAAUGGUAUGAUCUACUUUUUAUAUUAUAAAUUGGUAGAAUAUCAAAUUCUGAAUAAAAAUUUUAUUGACUUUCAUAUAUCUUAAAUAGUUCAAAUAUUAACAUAAAAUAAAAUCUCAUGAACAGAAUAGUUAUAAAAAUUGUCUAUUGCAAUCAAUCCAUUGAAUUCUUUAUAAUGCUUAUUGUAAUUUUUUUAUAAUAUAUCUUGCUAAAAUUACAUUACAUAAGCAAAUAUAUUGUGAUAUAUCUAUUAACAAAUUUAAUAAUAUAUAAAAAAACUUAUGUAUUUUCAUUUUUCAAACAUAAUAUUAAUUUCUUUUUUUAUAAUAAUAACAAAAAUGUUACAAUCAAUUUUCACAGAAAAUUUUUAAUAAUUAUAAUGUUGCGUUAUUAUAGCAGCGUUAUUAUAGAGAUAUAAUUAUAUAUAGCGUUAUUAUAUAUAUAAUAAUAUAUAUAGAGAUAUAAUUUUGAAAUAGAAUUACUUCAUUGUAAUAAAUAAUAUAAAUAUAGUAUUCUUUUUUUAGUUGAAUGUAUCAUGCAGAUCUAAUGUAUAAUAUUUUUUCAAAAAUAAUUUGAUUUAUUAAAAAGUUAUGAAAGUAAAGAAUUAGUUAGAAAGCAUGAUUAAUUCAACAUUUAAUUUCUUCUUAAGUUUUUUAGAUUCUUAUAUAUGAUUUCAUUGAUUAUCAUAGAUCGAUUCAAGCCUUUGGAUUGAAAUCAUUGAAGGAUCUCAAUGUUAAAAUAGUUAAUUGUAUUCUACAGUUGAAAUCUAUACAAAUUUUUUAAGUGGCUUUAUAAAGUUUCAAAUUAAUCUUUAGUCUAAUAGGAUUUUUAAGUAUAUUAUUUUAUAUUUAGCUGGGAUUUUUGUAUUGUUAUUACUGAAAGAUAUGUUUAUAUAGAGUGAAAGUAACAUAAAUUUGCUUUUAUUUAUGUUGAUAUGCCAUUAAUGUUAUUUUAAAUAUUCUUGAAAAAUUGUAAAAACUAAUUAGGGAUCUCUGCAAAUAUGACUAUAAUAAAAUUAGCUGUAGUUGAUCUAAACAUACAGAUUGAAUAUAAGAAUGAUCCAAAAACAAAUACUAUAGUAUAUUAUUAUAAUAUAUUAACUUCAAUAGGAAAAGUUACAAUUGUUAUAUAUAAACAUUUUCUAUUAUUUAGUAAUAAUGCAUAAUUAAAUAGAGACCAUGCAAAUUUUUUUUGAAUUUAAAUAUAAUAAUGUAACAUAUAUACCUUGUUUUAUGUUCAGAAAUAUUAUCGAAUAGUAUUUUUUUUUCUUUUUCCAAUUCUUAUUCCAAUAUUAUAUAUAAUUUAAUAUACUUAUUUUAUUAUGGAAUGUCGUUUCUGAAAUUCAAAUUAAUGAUUUGGAAUGAUCAUUGUUUCUUUUCAUAUAUGUAAUAAUAUAUAAGCAUUUAUUUAUUUCUGACUCAAGGCUUUUCAUUGAAGAGGCUUUUUUUUUUAAUUCAGGAUUGUUUCAAUGUAAUAAUGUGAUAUUUGCGCCCGAUAGUUUUACAAUCGGGCGCACAUCGCGAUUAUAAAUAAUUGAAGCAAAAGUUUACCUGGUAUAGUUUUUGUUUUUUUGUCUAAACUUAAUUCUAAUUUUUUGCAUUGUGACAAAAAAUGGUUAGACAAGUUGACAUGCAGAGAAAAUAUUAAUCUACCACGCCAUCGCUUGCUUCUGUUCGUAGAAGAAUUCGCUGGACAUUAUCAUUAAGCAUUUCUGUUUCUGUUAAUUAUUUGUCGUGAAAUUUUUCAAAUAUAUAGGUUUUCCACUUUUCUAAGAAUUUGUGGAAAUCUUUGAACGUAGAAUGUGGAAAUCUUUAUGUGCUAAAUCUAAUGCUCACUCUUAUCAAUGUUAUUGAGUCUAAUUUUUUUGUAAACAUUACUAUGGUAUUCUACGAUUGUACAAGUUCAUCUAAUUUUUCCAGGGCGAGAUGAUUUUUUGCAUCAUCAAUGAAUUCUUUUAUUGCGAUGAAAGAUUUGUUUCUGAUUGUAGAUUUAAAAGUGUGCCCGCAUAAUAAAUAAAAAGAUUUGCUUUUGUUAUA